AAUGGAAAAUUCAGUUUAGGGUUUAAAACCCUAAUGCUGACUGAAUGGAAAAAGUUCAGUUUAGGGUUUAAAACCCUAAUGCUGAUUGCAUGGAAAAGCUCAGUUUAGGGUUUAAAACCCUAAUGCUGGCUGAAUGGAAAAUUCAGUUUAGGGUUUAAAACCCUAAUGCUGACUAAAGGAAAAAGUUCAGUUUAGGGUUUAAAACCCUAAUGCUGAUUGCAUGGAAAAGCUCAGUUUAGGGUUUAAAACCCUAAUGCUGGUUGAAUGGAAAAGGUUCAGUUUAAGGUUUAAAACCCUAAUGCUGAUUAAAGGAAAAAGGUCAGUUUAGGGUUUAAAACCCUAAUGUUGACUGCAUGGAAAAGCUCAGUUUAGGGUUUAAAACCCUAAUGCUGGCUGAAUGGAAAAAGUUCAGCUUAGGGUUUAAAACCCUAAUGCUGAUUAAAGGAAAAAGGUCAGUUUAGGGUUUAAAACCCUAAUGCUGACUGCAUGGAAAAGCUCAGUUUAGGGUUUAAAACUCUAAUG
rnacentral:lncRNA from 1 species